rnacentral:rRNA from 1 species
AUUGAACGCUGGCGGCAGGCCUAACACAUGCAAGUCGGGCGAGCCGCGGACGGGUGAGUAAUGUAUGGGGAUCUGCCUGAUGGCGGGGGAUAACUACUGGAAACGGUAGCUAAUACCGCUUACCCUCAGAUGAACCCAUAUGGGAUUAGCUUGUAGGUGAGGUAACGGGGCACCUAGGCGACGAUCCCUAGCUGGUCUGAGAGGAUGAUAAGCCACACUGGGACUGAGACACGGCCCAGACUCCUACGGGAGGAAGCAGUGGGGAAUAUUGCACAAUGGGCGCAAGCCUGAUGCAGCCAUGCCGCGUGUAUGAAGAAGGCCUUAGGGGUGUAAAGUACUUUCAGUCGGGAGGCGUUACCGACAGAAGAAGCACCGGCUAACUCCGUGCCAGCAGCCGCGGUAAUAC